rnacentral:rRNA from 1 species
GACAGAGGUGCCAAGCGUUAGGCGGAAUCACUGGGCUUAAAGCGUGUGUAGGCGGAUCGUUAAGUGCCUUGUGAAAUCCCACGGCUUAACCGUGGAACUGCUCGGCAUACUGGCGGUCUUGAGCAACCUAGGGGCGAGCGGAACAAAUGGUGGAGCGGUGAAAUGCGUAGAUAUCAUUUGGAACGCCAAUGGUGAAAACAGCUCGCUGGGGGUUUGCUGACGCUGAGACACGAAAGCCAGGGGAGCGAAUGGG